rnacentral:rRNA from 1 species
UACGUAGGGGGGCAAGCGUUGUCCGGAUUCAUUGGGCGUAAAGAGCGUGUAGGCGGCCAGGUAGGUCGGUUGUGAAAAACUGGAGGCUCAACCUUCAGAGGUCGACCGAAAACCAUCUGGCUAGAGUCCGGGAGAGGAGAGUGGAAUUCUCGGUGUAGCGGUGAAAUGCGCAGAUAUCAGGAAGAACACCAAUGGCGAAAAGCAGCUUUUCUGGGGACGGUACUGACGCUGAGACGCGAAAAGCGUGGGGGAGCGAACAGG